GCCGACUGAAAUGAAAUGUAUGGAGAAGUAAUUUUUUAAUUUUUUGGGUGUAUUUAUUUUUUUUUUUUGAGGCAGCAUCUCUCUACAGAGCCCUGAUCUGCCUGUAACUCACUACAUAGGCCAGGCUGUCCUCAAACUCAUAUUGAUUUGCCCACUUCUGCCUUCCAAUGCAAUAUUGUUUUAUUCUCACUUGGGACAUCUCUUACACUAGCUAUACGAACAAUUAGAACCUCUGCAUCAGAAAUACACUUUCUUAUGCAUAAGUGGUACAAGGUUCAACCCCCCUAGCACUGCCAAUCCCCCAAAGUAGGUGUGACAUGAAAACAUCUGAGAAUUUGUUCCUAUGAUGGGACAGCUAAAAUUAUCCUUUCAGAGUCUGGUAUUUCUGAUUCACAAGGGUUCUUAAAAUUUUUAGGGACAGAUGGACAUAAGAAGUAUGCUUAUAAAUUCCUAUCUGGAAAAUAUAGUGCUGGAUUAGAACCUUAAAUAUUAAUAGCUGUAAAUACCAAGCCCAUGAAAUGUUCUCAAAGUAAAAUUUAAUUCUGUGAUGUUACAGCCAGUGAGUACAAGCUUAUGAUUAGAUCAUGUAAAGUGAAUUUUCAAAUCAAGGAUUUCUGUAUUAGGGUGUAUUUUCAAUAUACUGUCUUGUGAGUUACUGUGAAUUAACUAUCAACACAUUUACUUAUUUUUCUGUGGGUGUCUCUGCGUGUGCAUGUCAGGUGAGAAGACAACCACCACAAAUCUGUGGUGUGCCCGAGUAGGGAUCAAAUGGCCUUAACCUGCUGAGCCACCUCACUGGCCCCAAUUCUGGGAGUUUCUCAGCUUUGAUUAUAAACUUGUCUCUGUAGAUCUAUGAAUUCGGACUAUAUAAACCUGGUAUUUUAACUUAUUGCUCCAUUCAUGGCAUUCUCAAUUUUCCUAGUUCUCAAGGCCAGAUCCUGACCAAUUUCACAUCAACCCGGGACCAAGCAAAUAUCCUCCUAAGAUAAAAUCCCAUUCAGUUCCUAUUAUUAGGCCUAGUUUCAUGCAUAGAAGCAUUAUGGCAUUGAGAUUUAAAAAAAAAAAAAAGCACUUUAGGUAUCCUAGUUUGCUUUCUGUUUCUGUGGUAAACACCAUACAAACACAGGUUGGGAGGGAAAUAAAGGACCUGUUUCAGUUUCUACUUCCAAGACACAGUCCAUUACUAAAGAAAGACAAUCAGGAAUUCAAACAAGUAAUGAAGCAGAAACCAAGGAGGAAUUGCUGGCUCACUCUCUGACUUACCAUCCUGAUGGAGGCAAUUCCUUUUGCUUUGGAGUUUAGUUUUUUCUUCCUAGGUGACUCUAGGUUGUGUCAAGCUGACAAUAAAAGCUAGCCAGCAGACAAAAAACAAGAAACAAAAACAAAACUAGCCAGCAGAGAGAGAGAGAGAGAGAUCCUGAGAUCAGUUACUUAUGAAAACACAUGGCCUAUACAAUUACUGGCAAAAAACCCUCCAGUCUUCACCAAAGUUUUCUCACAAUUACUACUAGCAAUAAUAAAUAUCUGCAAAAUAUCAGCCAACAUCAAAAAAUACAUGAUACCUAAUUAAACAUAGUAACUUUUAAAAAACAAGAAAGACUAAUAAAUAUUCUUAACAUGUAAGAUGUCUCAAGACUGUUUUAUCCCAGAAUAUUCGUGAAUGACUUAAUCCUUCAAGUGGUUUCAUUUUCAGGUGCUUUAUCAGAGGUGUGUAGGGUCACAUAGGGUGCAUGUGGAGGUCAGAGGUUUGAAAUUAAAGUGUUACUCUUAGGAACAUCAGCCACUUCCUUUGAGACAAGGUUUUGCUUUGGCCUGGAGCUCACCAAUUUGGCUAGAAUGGUUAGGCCAGUGAACCUCAGCACCUGUUUCCAUUUUAAGUGCAUGCUCCCACAAGCCACUAAUAUUGAAAAUGUGACACUCAGGAAGGCCUCUCUGGGCUCCAGCCAUUCCAUAUCUGUGUGGAAUAUAAGCAACUUUCCUCAUUCCAUCUGUCAUGUCUUCAUGACUUUUCCUUUAUCAUCUAUUUCUAAGCAAUAGUAGCUUAGGUUGAAUUUUCCAUGAACAGCUCCUUCACAGGCAAGUACAUAGUCUAAAGCCAAGCAAUUUUGGUAAAUGGCACUGCAAUUUUGUUUGCUGUCUGGCUAGAAUAUCAAGAACCCUUGCAGUUUCAUUGGCUAUGAUCUCAAAAAACUUCCUUAAUCUGAUGAUGUGAUUUCACAUGUAGUCCCCAAAUCCCUUGCUUUCAUCCUUGUGGCCUGGCCAUAAUACUAAAUGAUACAUUCUGGGGUCCAUUAAUCAUCCUUCCAAUUCCUGAUCUGUAAAGCUUGUUGCUUUGUGUUUUGCAGUCCUCAAAUGCCUGCAUUCCUUACUGUUUGCCUCUAUAGAAAGGGGUAGCAGAACUGACCUGGUUGGAUGGAACCCAGCACACAUGACCCCACCCCCAAGUGAAGCAACUAUAUAAGCUGCCUUCUCGAAUAUCCAAUGUAGCCCUGAGAGCUUGUCAUUCCAUUGUCAUCUCUACUGUCCCCAAGCCUGAUCAAGACUAAUGGGCUGGGAAACAGUACAGCAGUGACAGCUAUUGACUUUUGUUUUGUUUUGUUUUUCGAGACAGGGUUUUCUCUUUGCAGCUUUGGAGCCUAUCCUGUCACUCGCUUUGGAGACCAGGCUGGCCUCGAACUCACAGAGAUCCGCCUGCCUCUGCCUCCUGAGUGCUGGGAUUAAAGGCGUGCACCACCAAUGGCCGGCACAGCUAUUGACUUUUAUUCCUUGGAAAUCUACCAGUUUUGCCUUGUGGACCACUUUAUGGUUUUGGUAUUCCUAAUAGUCUAGAAUAGGUAAUCUUUUCAGAACUGGUAUAGCCUCUAAAUUCCCAUGAUUUCCCAGGUACAUUGUCUUUUUCCUCCAGAAUCAAUCAGGCCCCUUUCAUUAUAUAGGGCCCCCGUAUAGAGUUAGAAGGAGGCAUAGUCGGUAUAUAUACUGUUGAUUAUCCCAGGAGCCAGCGGGUGAGCCAAGGUCUGUCCUCUAUGCUCACUACAGAAUAACCAGCAAAGGAUUCACCCUCCUUGAUAAAGUUACAUUGACCUCUAACAGGCUGGAAAUGGCUCAGUGGUUAAGAGCAGAGUUCUUCCAGUGGUCUUGAGUUCAAUUCCCACCUCAUGGUGGGUCACAACCAUCUCUAGUGGGGUUGUUUCUAGUGAGACUCUAGUAGCCUCAGGGGACUAUAUUGCCUCAGAUGAAGCUUCAGCUGCAGCAGGAGUGGACAAAUGCUGAUGGCAUGGUGACAACAUGGGGAUUCUUCAGAACAGGCUUCUCAGAUUCUGGUCUACAUUUUUAGCUGUUUUCUUUGCUAGUAUGCUGUAGCAUGUUUUAAUAAAAGACUCAGAGACUAAUAUUGGGGUUCAAGCUGAAGAUCAGAAAAGCAAAGCAGCCAGCCACUAGCUCUUGCCUCUACCUCAGUUCACACCAAAGGGGUAAUGAUCCUCAAACUGCUCCCGACUUUACUGUUCCUCAUAUUCAGAUUGCUAGUCUCUCCUCAAUGCAGCUAGAGACUAACUCUCAGACUGAAAGCCAGCUCUGAGACCCUGCACCUGUCUUAUAUACCUCCCUAAUACUGGAAUUAAAGGCAUGUGGUACUAGGCGCUGAGAUCACCUUUGUGUGAGCCCUUUAAGAGUGGAUCAAUUUCAUGUAGUCAGUGUGGCUUUGAACUAACAGAGAUCAGUUUACCUCUUAAUCCUGAGUCCUGGGAUUAAAGGUUCGUGUCACCACUGCCUGAUCUCUAUAGCUUGAGGCUGGCUUUGCUUUCUGAAUCCUCAGGCAAGCUUUAAUAAAUCAUAAAUAAUAUAUCACACAGCAUGCUCUUUGUAAUUUUCCUCUAAUCAGGCUCAUAACCACUGUGGAUAGGAAUGAACUAGGAACCAACAGGGAAUGGGUACACAAGAAGGGCAGGGAGGGAGAGGAUGAACUUUUGCUCCAUCCAUUACUAGACACACCCCCUUGGGGCUAUUUCAUGUUCCUUAUACUAUUCUCAUUAUGCAGACCCCAGUAAUGACACUAUGGACGAGGCUCAUCAGGGAACUGGAGUUGGCUCAAUGGCUGCUUUGGCCUGUGUGGUCAAGUCCCUUGUCAGACUCUUCCAAACACACUUAUGUACUUCUAGCCCACCAUGCUACUUGAGCCACUGAAGUCCAACCUGUAUGAACUACUUGGGCAAGUCCUGGGGUUCCAGGAAGUGGUUAGGCCCCUCUUGUCUUCCUGGGACUUACCAGGUUCUGAUGUACUUCAGUCUCUGCCCUAGCAGAGCAAGAUGGUCCCUUUUCACCAGGGUGAGUUGUGGUGAGGUGACAUCCCUAUCACCAAAUCCCAGAGAGAACCAAGAAAUGCGGGAUUCUGAACAAAGAGACGGGACACCAAGUUUCUACAGGAAAAAAAGAGUUUUUAUUUGUGGUAGCACAGACCAGAACUAUUUACAGACUUUUAUGAUUUUUUGUUUCUUUUCCUCCCACAUGUGGCAACGUAUAAUUUCACUGGCUAUUUUAAAACCACAGGGUGGGAUUCUGAAAGUACUAGAAUGUAGAGGAAGCAAGGGUUGCUUGGGUAAUGUACAAGAUCAUAUAUAAGCAUUUUGGCAGAGACAAGACCACAUGGUGGUCUCCUUGUUCUUCCUCUAAGGUCUACGAGAAGGCUUGCUAGCAAGUGCUGAGAACGACUGUUGAGUGCUUAGCUCUAAAUAGGACAUUUAUAUAACCCACUUCAAGGCUCACGGUACAUCACACAAGAGGCAGAAAGAAUGUUAAGAGCCAGAGGAAGCCAAGAGAUAUGGAACACUGACCUGGCUGUUGCACCCUUGAACUCAUGGUAGCCACGAUUACUUCUACUCAAGAUCUGAACAAGAUGGGCCUGUCAACAUCCUGUUACGAAGGGAGAGGGUCUCAUGGGACCUCAUUCCUCUCCAAGUAUUUACACAGCUAAUGCUUGAUAGAAGAAGAAAUGUUUUCUUCAGGAAUGUAUAGUCACUGGUAGGGUGCCCAUGUACUUGUAAGCAAAGCCAAGGGAACUUACUGGAUGGGAGAGGAUGAACCCUUGACAUGGGGACAGACAACAGAAGACAUAAGAGUAGAGUGGGGAUCAGUGGGAGUAGAAGAAUAAAAACAUUAAAAAGCAAAUAAUAAAGAAGUCAGGCACAAUGGUGCACAGCACUAGGGCCCUAGGGAGAUAACGCAACAUGCCAGUCCCAGCUAUAUGAUGAGAGCCUGCCUCAGGAAAAAGACAACUAAUGAAGGAUUAAAGGAAUAUGGCUUAUAAAACUAAACAAAGCAAAAACAAAACAAAACAAACACAAUAAAAAUAUCUUGUUGGGGGGGCUGGAGAGAUGGCUCAGAGGUUAGGAGCACUGACUGUUCUUUCAGAGGUCCUGAGUUCAAUCCCCAGCAACCACAUGGUGGCUCACAACCAUCCAUUAUGAGAUCCGGUGCCCUCUUCUAGUGUGCAGAUAUACAUGGAAGCAGAAUGUUGUAUACAUAAUAAAAUAUUUAAAUGCCUUUGAUCCCAGCACUUGGGAGGCAAAGGUAGAUCUGAGUUUGAGACCAGCCUGGUCUAUAAACUGAGUUGCAAGAAAGGUAAGGCUACACAGAGAAACCCUGUCUUGGAAAAAAAACAAAAAACAAAAAACAAAAAACGAAAAUCUUAAGGUGGGUGUGAUGGCCAAUGCCUUUAAUCCCAGCAAUUGGGAGUCAGAGUCAGGGAGAUUCCUGUGAAUUUGAGGCCAGCUUGGUUUACAAUAGUGAGUUUCAGGCCAUCCAAGGAUAGUACAUAGUGAGACCCUAUCUCAAAGGGCCAACAACAAGAUAAAAAUCAUCUUUAGCUGGGCAUUGGUGGUGCACGCCUUUAAUCCCAGCACUCGGGAAGCAGAGGCAGGUGGAUCUCAGUGAGUUCGAGGCCAGCCUGUUCUCCAGAGAGAGUGCCAGGAUAGGCUCCAAAGCUACACAGAGAAACCCUGUCUCGAAAAACCAAAAAACCACAAUCAACUUUAUGUUCAUUCCCCAGUCUCCAGGCAAAUGCUCCACAGAUUCUGGUGCACAGUUGACUCUAGCAACUCUGACAACAUAGGCCUCCUAACUUUUCUGACCUAUCUUUUGCCAGGCAUCCUUUCCCAACUGUUUUACUAUCUGAAAACACUUUUCUUAAUCAUGCUUGCUCACAAGUUUCCAUUUAACUAGUUCUGGGCUCUGCCUGCUUAAUGUUUCUCUAACAUCUCUAGAGCUGAUUGUAUAUGGAACCUUCACUGACCUUUCACCAGGAGCCACUAUUUAAAUCUUUAAAAAUACCAGCUGGACAUGAUGGCACACACCUUUUAUCCCAGCACUUGGAAGGCAGCUGCAGGAGGAGCUCUUAGUUUGAGGCUAACCUGGUUUAAAAUGCAAGUUCCACAACAGCCAGGGCUACACAGACAAACUGUGUCUUGAAAAACAAAAACAAAAAAACCAAAAUUAUUUAAGUCUUUAGAUUAACUUCCCACAUUAAACUAUGUUAUUUAUUUUAUUUACACUAAGCUCCCUAGGCAUAGAUCUUUGGAGGAAUGUCAUUAAGUAGCCCAAACCUGUUAAUCCCCUACCCUGAAAUAAAUUGUCAUUAUAGUUUGAAUUACUUGUGAAUGAAAACCAUCAUUCAUGUAGUCGUAGAACAAACAACAAAGUCCAACAGGGCAAAAGAUCAUCCAUUCAGAUUCUGCAAUGUAUGCUUUAAAAAUACUAACAAUAGGACCUGUUCUGGCCUUUGAGCCUAGAGCUUUUGUUUGCCAGGUACAGCAAGCACCCUCACAAUCAAGACUGACAUCCCCGGUGCCCAAAAUAAGUCUGAUUACAAUUAUGUAAUCCCCCCAAACUCAAACUUUUGGGAAGCAGCUAUAUUCAUUCAACCCAGCUGAGUCAAUUCUACUUCUCCACAUAUCCCGAUGCUUCUGCAAAUAAACUGCUUCCCAAAAACAAGGUACACAAGUGCGUACAUGCAUGCACAUGUAACAAGGACAAUCUCAUUCACUUAAGGAUGAAGUAAAACUACAAACCAGAACCACAACUUUUCCGCACAAGCAAUAAAUCCUAGUUCUUCUAGAGCCACCGCGCCUUGGUUCUCCCCACAAAAGCAAGUGUUAUUCUGAAAGACAAAGAGUGCAUUUUGAGCAUGUUUAACCUUAGACCUAGAAUGGUUAUUUUAAAA
rnacentral:lncRNA from 1 species